rnacentral:rRNA from 1 species
GACGUAGGGGGCAAGCGUUGUCCGGAUUUAUUGGGCGUAAAGAGCUCGUAGGCGGUUGGGCAAGUCACGUGUGAAAUCUCCACGCUCAACGUGGAGGCGCCACGUGAGACUGCCCUGACUCGAGUCCGGUAGGGGAGCGUGGAAUUCCCGGUGUAGCGGUGAAAUGCGCAGAGAUCGGGAGGAACACCCGUAGCGAAGGCGGCGCUCUGGGCCGGUACUGACGCUGAGGAGCGAAAGCGUGGGGAGCGAACAGG